GGUUCUCCUGGCCUCGCAAUGGGAGAGACAGGCCAAGCACACCCACAAGCUGAAUAUUGGUUCAGACCAUCAAGGCCUCUUCCUCCACUUCCUUGCAUCUGCUCCCUCACUGGAGACCAGACAAUCUGUCCCACAAGAAGAGCAGCUGGAUCAGCUGAAGCUUGCCCAGCCCAGCAUUCUGAUGCUGCAGCGGUCAAUGAGACAUCCAGGUGGAGCCAAGAAACAGGACACGAGAGCUGCUGUUGGGGAUCAGCAUCAAAGCCACUUGCUCAUGGGCUUCCCACUUGGCCAGAACAAUGGAGGUGGUGAAUGGGGAUACAGGAGAUGCCCCCAGCUGCUUGAUUCCUGGCUCUCUACCUGCCAAGCAAGCGAGAGGGAACACUUACGAGAACAAGGAUGAGGAGCAGUUGUAGCUACAGGCCAUGGGGUGAGAAGGCUGCCUUAAAAACAAUUCAGCAAGAAAAAUAUAUUUAAAUACACAUUUCAAACAUACAUUCGCUCAAGAAUCAAGAUGUAUCUCCUCUCAAAAUAUACAUUAGAAAAAAUCCCCUCAACAAACACAUUUCAAGUAUUCCCCUCCCCCUGCCAUCUUCUUCAAAUCUGAAAUGGACAUUUGAGAAAUGUAAAAGCUGCUGGAUAACUAAAUUCCAUACAUCUU